GACGAACGCUGGCGGCGUGCCUAAUACAUGCCAGUUGAGCGCUGAAGGUUGGUACUUGUACCAACUGGAUGAGCAGCGAACGGGUGAGUAACGCGUGGGGAAUCUGCCUUUGAGCGGGGGACAACAUUUGGAAACGAAUGCUAAUACCGCAUAAAAACUUUAAACACAAGUUUUAAGUUUGAAAGAUGCAAUUGCAUCACUCAAAGAUGAUCCCGCGUUGUAUUAGCUAGUUGGUGAGGUAAAGGCUCACCAAGGCGAUGAUACAUAGCCGACCUGAGAGGGUGAUCGGCCACAUUGGGACUGAGACACGGCCCAAACUCCUACGGGAGGCAGCAGUAGGGAAUCUUCGGCAAUGGACGAAAGUCUGACCGAGCAACGCCGCGUGAGUGAAGAAGGUUCUCGGAUCGUAAAACUCUGUUGGUAGAGAAGAACGUUGGUGAGAGUGGAAAGCUCAUCAAGUGACGGUAACUACCCAGAAAGGGACGGCUAACUACGUG
rnacentral:rRNA from 1 species